GUCCUUGUCUUCAAUUUUCCCCCCUUUAAGACUUGCAUGUGUAGGCUGAAGGUAAAGACACAGAAGAGUGCAGGGGGAAAUCAUGAUCAGUACCCCUCUUUAGUUGACUAGCUGUAUAUUUUAAAAUAUAUAGUGCUGAUUCUGAUGAUAGAUAAUUAUUUUUUUAGGUUUCUUGUACUAAGUAACAGAUUAUCAUGACACUGUCAUAACAUGAGGUGCCAGGACAGACAGGAGAUGUGAGAAGUAGCAGUUUUAAAAAUUUAUCGCGGGAAAUGUUAAUUUCAAUAGUAUUUUAUCUUUUGGUAAGUUUUAGAUAGUCUUACAUGUAUAUAUAAAAUAAUUAGAAUUUUGAAUGGGGUUAAAUGAUUAAAGAAUAAUGCCCUUAAAAAUGAAGAUUAGAGAAUAACGGGCAAAAAAAAAUGAAAAUUAGAGAAAAAAGGGGUUAAUUUUUUGAAGAUUAGAGAAAAAAGGUGUAAAUUUUUUGAAGAUUAGAGAAAAAAAGGGGUGAAAAUUAAAUGUUUACAGAAUAACAGAACCCCCCCCCCCCCAAAUCCGGACCCUCAUACAUACAUACAUACAUGUAUACUACAUAUAGAACAUCAUUUUUUUUUUCAAAAAUAGGACAAGUGAAUUCAUAUUCAGUCUUCACGCCGAGUGGCAGCCCAGGCUGGUAAAAUUGCUCUCGGGCCUGUUAAAAUUAGACCUACAGGCCAACAGAAUCUAACUAAAAAUUUUCAAAAAUUGAGCUGCGGGCCUGUAGAUUUAGCAGUUCAGCGUGAAGACUGCAUAUUUAAAGUGUAAAUUAAGUUUUUAGUUUGAAAAAAUAACAUUUAAUGAAAAAACUAAGGUCAUAUAUAAAUGUAAAAUACUGCAAUCUUUUGAAACAGAUAAAAUAAUGUGAAAUGGCAAUUUUACAUGUAGACCAUGAAAUAUAGUCCUCAUUAAAACUGAUUAUUUCUGUAAUAUGCUAGAAAUAUAAGUAGGGUCAAACAACCCUACUUUUGUACUUGAAUGUCGGUUUGAUGGUAAACUAAUGUGCAAUUUUAUAUGACUGUAAAUGAGAAAUCAGCUAUAUUUUGAUUAUUUUUUGUCCAAAAUAGUCAAUAUUUAGAGAGUGUGUUCGGAGUUCCAAAAAAACAUAUUCUAAGUAUGAAAAUAAACAGUUUUUCUAAGACUUGCUGAUCUUACUCUUUCAUUCAUAUUAUUACAUUCAAUUUUGGCAAAAAAUGACAAACUAUAGCAAAUUUAUAGCAACUCACCAAAAUUUUGAUCAUAUUGUAAAUUAGUUCAAUACACUGUUUCAUAAGGUUUUCAUCAUCAUGUAAAUAUUGAAAUCUGUCACUAAUCCUGUGUAUUCUUCAAAUAUCUAUAAAUUGUGAUUUUUCUUUUCUUGAUUUGAAGUUGGAGAGAAUUGGAGAUUUGAGCCACUAUAAACAUACAUGUAUAAUAUCACUGUACUAGUAUACAUGUUUUUUAAGGGGCCGGCUGGACACCGCCUCCUGGUGUGGGAGUUUCUUGCUACAUUGAAGACCCAUUGGUGUACGUUGUCUGCUCUAUGGUCUGGUUGUUGUCGCUUUGACACAUUCCCCAUUUCCUUUCUUAAUUUUAUGUAUAAAAUAUAUCUCUGCAUAUCUGAAGCCCCAGAGUAGUAAAUUUCUUUUGGACUAGUAAGUUGUUUGAACCAAUAAGAAAAAUGUCAGAAUAUUGGUCUUUGGACUAGUAGUUGAGAAAAGAUUUUGGUGCAGACUGUAUAUAUAUCACAUUUCCUUUAUCAAAAGUUUUUUUCAAGCAGAAAAAAUGAAUGGGUUGAAGAAAAAUUAUUGAAAGCUACAUUUGUCAAAAUUAAAUAUUUGCGGAAAAUAUGCUCUUUUUAGUGGCCUCCUCUCAUGCUUGUUUCUAGCUAUAAAUUGCACUUAUCAAAGACUUAGACAGACACAUGUUUUAUUUUACUAAACAUAUAAAUAUAUAUAUAUUAUAUCAGAUUUUGAAUUAUUUCUUCUAGAAUGGUGUUUUUCUAUGCAUUCUACAAACUAGUUUUCUUUAAACAAAGCUCUAAAAUACCUUGUGAAAUAUAAUUUUAGCUUUUAAAUUACAUUCUGUAGUACAUUGUAGUUGCAAAGGGAGAUAAGAUCAAUAUGUAAUAGCUUCAAAGAUAUGAAAAAAAUAUAUGUUAUAUUUUACUAGAUUUUUGCACAUGAUCUCCUGAUAUGUUCUGAAUUUGAUCAUAGGUAAAUUUUUUUAUUGUUCAUGUAUCAUUAUGAAUUGGGUUUUUUCUUAUUUUUGUAUGAACUAUUCUGAUCAUUCAUAAAGUCAAAUAGACAAUACCAAACUUUGAUAAAAAAUGAUAUGCAAUGCAGUAUAUAUGCUAUAAAUCUAUUAAUUAAUGAUUUUUUUCUUCUAGAAUGGACAUAUAUGGAACUGUAACACAGAGAAGCUGACUUGAAAGAAAUAUACUUAGUAUUUUGUGUGCUGAUAGAGAAUGACAGUCACAGACUUUUAUAAAUGUUGUAAUUCAAACAAUUACAAAAACAUGUAUCAUACACACAGGAAAUAAACA
rnacentral:lncRNA from 1 species